CUUUUAUGAAAAAUGACCACAAUGGCAACCAGUGACUUCAACCAGAAAACGUCAUGUGUGACUCCUCAGUUAUCUUUGGAAGAUUUGUUUAGAGGAAUAUUGUCAACAUAUUGUUACUAUAAAUCUAAGUGGGGUUACAGAGGAGUUGUGGGUGGAGCAGUGUCCCUAAAGAGUAGCAAUAUUUAAUUCUAUUGUACUUGGUGAUUAAAGACAAGCCUUCUUGGUUCUGAAAGAAAACUCUCCUUGUGAAACAGCAGGACCUUUCCUAGAUAGAUAGAUAGCAAGGUGAUACUUCUGUCUCCAUGUGAAAGCACAUCAUGCUAAUACCACCGGAUCCUGAAGUUCAGGAAGGGGCAUUAAUAAAAACAGCUGCCUUAAUUUCUCCUCUAUAUAAAACCAACACCAGACAAACACAAAUAUUAAGACAGAAAACAAUCAGAUUGAAGUCUCAUGUACUUGACCAAAACCCUUUCAAAUUCAUCUUAAGUCUUAAUUCACACAACUCCUUUACUUCAAUUCAGAAGACUUUGGCCACAACCCUAUAACCAUUUAUAGUGCUAGUAAGUAUCACUUUGUUACUUGUGUAAGAAUCAGUUCUUUAUCUUUUUAUACUACUUGAAAGCACUGGCAGCCUAAUAAAGACUUCCAAAACAUCUGACAUGUUUGAUAAGAGUUUCAGAAACAAUCUCUUGCACCUUGGAAAGGAAAACCUUCUAGGUUCCACCACAGAAACUGCCAGUUAAGCAAGCAAAAAGGCACCAAACAUACUAUGGAAAAAUACUCAAUAGUUAAAACUUGUCAUUAUAACAUACUUAGUUGGGGCAGUCAGUUUAGUUGGAGGCCUAACACCAGUCACGUCAAAAUGAAGGAAAACAGAAGCAAGUUCUUAUGUUAACAAUCAGCUUGACUACUGCAGUCUAAGAAAUGCAAAUGAACUCCAUAACCCCAGUUGAGGCUCCCAGCCCAAUACAAGUAUGGGUAAAGUUGGGGUUAACUUGACUCCUAGGGAGAAUUUCACCUUUUAGGGGCACUGAAUGCACAUCCAAGAACUUAAUGAUAGAGCAUUAAUGACUUAAGUACAACUAAAUGCUCAAUUUUCUUACAGAAGCGUGUGUGUGUAUACAAACACACACAUGCAUACACAGUGGCUUAAUGGCUUUAAAGAUACUGUUACUAGGCAUAAGUUUAUACAGGUAGGUUAUUUCAAACACCCUUGCACUUUGGUGCAGAUGUAUGGAAAUGAACUUAAUUAUUUAAAAAUUUAUAAAUUUGCUCAUAAAAUCAACCUCAAAGAAAUUCUACUUAAAAUAAAACUCAAAUGUUAAUAUAGUCUUAAGUUAGCAUAUGCUGUUAAUAAUUGGCAUCCUUAAGUUUCUAGACUUUAGUGUGGCUUAUGUUUCCAGAACAUGGGGGUUAAGGUUCCUAUAAAACAUAAGUUGAACUACACAUAACAUUCUAGGCAUCACCAACCUACAUUUGGAUUUGAAUAAGUAUGCCCAGGAUUUUGCCUACUUUCUGGGAAGGGGUUAAUACAUGCUUCUAUUUCAGAUACUGAACCGUGACCACUAAGCCCACUAAAUCCUUUUAUUGCAAUUGGGAAUGAUCAAAGUCUCUAUACUUAUUUACUUCCAAUUAUUAACUGUAAAUCUCUGGGAAAAAGAUCGUGCUACAUGGCUGUCAAACCCAAAAGACUGUAUUAACAUAUGCCAUCAACUUUUUAGUGCUCCUUUCUCCAAAGCAUCUCUUCACCACAUGACCUAUGCUGACAUUUAGUAAAACCUAUAAAACGUUGUAGACUUAAGUCAUGGUUCUAAGUGCAUCCCAUACUAGAGGCGGAAAAAAGAAGAAGAAGAAAAAAAAAAAAAACUGUAGUCUCUGAGACGGGGGAAAAAAAGAAAAAGGAAAAAGAGAGGAAACCUCUUGCAAGACUAACGUCCAUUCACCAUCAUCACUCCAAAAAAAGCUCCAAAUUUGAAAUGCCCACUUCCCACUGAGCACCUCCCAAGUAAUAUUUGAAGAACUUAUCCGAGACUCUCAACAAAUAACACCUUGAAAACUUUACCAUUUUAAACACAAACGCAGGAGACCUUGGAAACAACUGGGAACCGCCAUCUUACAAGCCAUCUAAAUUCACCCAAGUGUCCCUCCAACUUAAGUUAAUAACAUUUUUGUUCGGGCUCCUUUCAGCCUAACAUCCACCUUGGCGGGAUCGCGGCCCCCCAAGCAACCCGUCCCUAUAAAAUGGGGGCGUUCUCUGGCUGUUUAAACCCCUCCAAAGCCCUUUCUUCGGGAGAGGAGGGAAGCCACUUGACCCAAGCAGCUCCCGAUUUCAGGCACCCGUCCCCGUUUCAUCAAAAUCUACCUCUCAACAAAGGGCGCCGUGGCCGGGAGAGCCGCAGAGGCUGCAAAUAGAAGUAUUCUUCUCGGGGGCCAUGUGCGUCGCGAGGGUGUAGAGGGGCGCUCGGGGGAGAAAGGAACUAAAACGUGGGGCCGCGCGCGGCGCGUCCGGGCUGGAGCGGGCGGCGGCUGGAGCGGCGCCGAGGCCGGCUGGCGGCGGCGGCGCGGCGCGGGCUGCGGGUCGGUCCCGGCGCCGCGGGAGUCGGCGGGCGGCGGCGGGCGCGCGCUCGCGGGCGCGGGCGGCGCGCGGGGCCGGGCGGCGCGCGGGGCCGGCGGGCGGCGGCGGGCGGCGGCGCGGGGCUCGGCGCCCACGCUGUCAGCGCCCUCCCGGCCGGCGCGGGCGAGGCGCGGUGGGGGGGGGCCGUUCCCCGUCCACCCGCGGCCGGCCUGAGUCCCGCGCGGCCCCCGCCGCCCCCAGGCCCCGUCCCGGAGGCGCCUCGCCUCCUACGUACCCGGAAAAAGCAGCCGGCGAGAGGCGAUCGAAGCGGGCGGAAAAGACAAUGAAAGUUAAAAGUCGUUCAGCAGAAAAUGAAUGUGAGCCAAGCGGCCAUCUUGAAGCGAGCUGCAGACGCCGCUGUCAAUGGGCAACGAGCGCAGCCGAGAGGAGCGGCGGCCGCCGCGCUCGGCUCAUGCUGCCUCCCGAGCCCGGCCUCCUCCUCCUCCUCCUCCGCCUCGGCCUCCUCCUCCUCCGCGGCCUCCUCCUCCUCCUCCUUGGCCUCCAACGCCUCCUCCUCCUGGGCCUCCUCCUCCUCCUCGGCCGCCGCCGCCGCCUCCUCCCGCUCCGCACUCGGGGGAGGGAGCGCGCGGAGGGGGCGCAAUCAGUAUUAUUCUGCGGGGCUGGGAGGUGUUUCUAAUCCGGAUCGGGGCUCCCUCGCCAACAUCCCCAUUGUCUCGCCCCGAUCUCUGCCUUUAAUACUACGAUUAUUAUUUCAUAGUUGCCGUUGGUGGGGAGGAGGGCGGGUGGGGGGCGCCGUGUGUGUGCGUGCGGAGAGGCGGGGGGAAGGGAGGAAGGCUGAGGACGGGGGAGGGGAGGGUGGAAAAAAAAAUGCACCGCUGAAGGCAGAGUGGAAACUGACACCGGCUCCAAAAUGGCUCAGAGUCCGCCCGCCCCCUCCCCCCGCCACCCCCCCACCGGGUCACGUGCUCCCCUCAUUCCUUAAGGGCGGCCUGGGAAUUAGUGUCGGUGUAGUCGGGCCCGCGGCCGCCCCCUCCCCUCGGAGCAGCGCGACCCGGCCCCCUCCUCCUCCUCGCUCGGCGCGGCGGCGGCGCUGGCGCGGCUGCGGAGACAUUUCUCCACAGCGCCACACGCGCCACCCUGCUCUCGGCGCGGGCAUCGCUCCGGCCCCGCACGCAGCUCAGCCCACCCC
ensembl:lncRNA